rnacentral:lncRNA from 1 species
CAGCAGUGGAAAAGAUUUAUUAUUCAAGAUAAAAGGACCAUAUUUUUUUGUUGAGAAAAUUAUUGUAUAGUUUGAAGCAAUCUUUGAGAUAGUAGUAAAGCAGUUUGAUGCAUUUAUGCUUGGGCAUGGUUAUUCUCAAAGUGACUAUAAUAGUUAUGUUUAUCACAGGAGAUUUUCAGAUAGUUCUUCUAUUUAUUUUUUGUUCUAUAUUGAUGAUAAGCU